AUUAAAUGUGGACGAAACAAUGACAAAGUGGUGAAGAAUGAAUGCCUAAAUCAUGCAAAGUAUAGACAUAUCAACUCCCCCAAACUUAGUCUUUGCUUGCCCUCAAGCAAACAAGAAGACAUAAGCGGAAGGAGAGGUUUGAAGUUGGGGAUUCAGAACCAAAGCAUGAGAUAUGACAAUUAAGAUCAAUGUACCAGCUAACAGUUCUAAGAUGCGAGGUGAUCGACUUUUACAUAAAAAC
rnacentral:sRNA from 1 species